GCUGAUACAUGCAGAUACAAACUCAUUUCGUUUGUUUAACUGAGUGGCCAUUUUUGGCUUACAAAUAAUAAAGUAUUUCUCCCAUAAACACAAAUUACAUCGAUUUGUAGCACAAUGCACAAUUAUAAGGCUUAGCCUCUUUCAAUAGUUUCCAAUUAAUUAUAUAAUCAAUGUUUUGAUUUUUCAGUUCCCACACGUAUUUGCUUAGUUCAGUAGCGUUCCGUUUGUCGAAAGAGUUGAAUGAUGUUUUGUGGUUUGCAAGUCUUGUUUUGAACGAGUUUUCUCUAUAAGUCCGACAUAUGUUUGGGGAGGUCUAUUUGUAGUUUGGUUCUUAAAGCCCUGUUACACGGUGCAAUUUUCCAUGCAACUUGUCUCGCAAUGGCGUUGCGAGACGAGUUGCACGAGUCAUUGCACCGUUUAACAUGCCUUGCAAUGGUCAAAAUCGUUGCGAGACAAGUUGCA